CACGGAGGAUGCGAGCGUUAUCCGGAUUUAUUGGGUUUAAAGGGUGCGUAGGUGGGGAAUUAAGUCAGUGGUGAAAGUUUGUCGCUCAACGAUAAAAUUGCCAUUGAAACUGGUUCUCUUGAGUAUGUUUGAGGUAGGCGGAAUGCGUGGUGUAGCGGUGAAAUGCAUAGAUAUCACGCAGAACUCCAAUUGCGAAGGCAGCUUACUAAACCAUAACUGACACUGAAGCACGAAAGCGUGGGUAUCAAACAGG
rnacentral:rRNA from 1 species